ACGAACGCUGGCGGCGUGCUUAACACAUGCAAGUCGAACGGUAAGGCCUUUCGGGGUACACGAGUGGCGAACGGGUGAGUAACACGUGGGUGAUCUGCCCUGCACUUCGGGAUAAGCCCGGGAAACUGGGUCUAAUACCGGAUAGGACUGCGCGGUGCAUGCCGCGUGGUGGAAAGAUUUAUCGGUGCAGGAUGGGCCCGCGGCCUAUCAGCUUGUUGGUGGGGUAAUGGCCUACCAAGGCGACGACGGGUAGCCGGCCUGAGAGGGCGACCGGCCACACUGGGACUGAGACACGGCCCAGACUCCUACGGGAGGCAGCAGUGGGGAAUAUUGCACAAUGGGCGCAAGCCUGAUGCAGCGACGCCGCGUGAGGGAUGACGGCCUUCGGGUUGUAAACCUCUUUCAGCAGGGACGAAGCGUGAGUGACGGUACCUGCAGAAGAAGCACCGGCCAACUACGUG
rnacentral:rRNA from 1 species